AACGCACCUUGCGCUCUUUGGUAUUCCGAAGAGCAUGCCUGUUUGAGUGUCAUGAAAAUAUCAACCUUGACUUGGGCUUUGUGCACGAGUUUAGGCUUGGAUGUGGGUGCUUGUCGCUUUAACACGCGGCUCACCUUAAAUGUAUUAGCUGGAUCAGUCUUUGAGACUUGGUUUGACUUGGCGUAAUAAGUAUUUCGCUAAGGACAUUCUUCGGAAUGGCCUCGUUUCUGGGACACCUGUCCGCUUUCCAAUACGAGUUCCAGAAAUGGACAUGACUUUUUAUCAUCUGGCCUCAAAUCAGGUAGGACUACCCGCUGAACUUAA
rnacentral:misc_RNA from 1 species